rnacentral:misc_RNA from 1 species
UCGUAACAAGGUUUCCGUAGGUGAACCUGCGGAAGGAUCAUUAGUGAAUUGCUCUUUGAGCGUUAAACUAUAUCCAUCUACACCUGUGAACUGUUGAUUGACUUCGGUCAAUUACUUUUACAAACAUUGUGUAAUGAACGUCAUGUUAUUAUAACAAAAAUAACUUUCAACAACGGAUCUCUUGGCUCUCGCAUCGAUGAAGAACGCAGCGAAAUGCGAUAAGUAAUGUGAAUUGCAGAAUUCAGUGAAUCAUCGAAUCUUUGAACGCAACUUGCGCUCUCUGGUAUUCCGGAGAGCAUGCCUGUUUGAGUAUCAUGAAAUCUCAACCAUUAGGGUUUCUUAAUGGCUUGGAUUUGGGCGCUGCCACUUGCCUGGCUCGCCUUAAAAGAGUUAGCGUAUUAACUUGUCGAUCUGGCGUAAUAAGUUUCGCUGGUGUAGACUUGAGAAGUGCGCUUCUAAUCGUCUUCGGACAAUUCUUGAACUCUGGUCUCAAAUCAGGUAGGACUACCCGCUGAACUUAAGCAUAUCAAUAAGCGGAGGAAAAGAAACUAACUAGGAUUCCCUUAGUAACGGCGAGUGAACCGGGAAAAGCUCAAAUUUGUAAUCUGGCUGUCUUCGAUAGUCCGAGUUGUAAUCUAUAGACGUGUUUUCCGUGCUGGACCGUAUCUAAGUCCCUUG